rnacentral:rRNA from 1 species
GCGCUGCUUACCAUGCAGUCGAGCGGGAACUUCGGUUUCCAGCGGCGGACGGGUGAGUAACACGUGGGCAACCUGCCUCACAAUGAGGGAUAGCCUUCCGAAAGGAAGAUUAAUACCUCAUAACACAAGAAAAACGCAUGUUUUUCUUGCCAAAGAAUUUCGUUGUGAGAUGGGCCCGCGGCGCAUUAGCUUGUUGGUGAGGUAACGGCUCACCAAGGCUGCGAUGCGUAGCCGACCUGAGAGGGUGAUCGGCCACAUUGGAACUGAGACACGGUCCAGACUCCUACGGGAGGCAGCAGUGGGGAAUAUUGCACAAUGGAGGAAACUCUGAUGCAGCAACGCCGCGUGAGUGAUGAAGGUCUUCGGAUUGUAAAGCUCUGUCUUCUGGGACGAUAAUGACGGUACCA